GCCCUUAGAGUUUGAUCAUGGCUCAGAAUCAACGCUGGCGGCGUGCCUAAUACAUGCAAGUCGGACGCGAAGACCCCGCAAGGGGUUGGUAGCGUGGCAAACGGGUGAGUAACGCGUGGGCGACCUGCCUUCGAGUGGGGGAUAACCUCCCGAAAGGGGGGCUAAUACCGCAUAACAUGCUCUGUUUGGAUACAGGGACAUCAAAGCCGGGGACCGCAAGGCCUGGCGCUUGAAGAGGGGCCUACGUCCGAUUAGCUAGUUGGUGGGGUAAUGGCCUACCAAGGCGACGAUCGGUAGCCGGCCUGAGAGGGCGGACGGCCACACUGGGACUGAGACACGGCCCAGACUCCUACGGGAGGCAGCAGUAGGGAAUUGUUCGCAAUGGGCGCAAGCCUGACGACGCAACGCCGCGUGGAGGAUGAAGACCCUCGGGUCGUAAACUCCUUUCGACCGAGAUGAACAUCCAUGGGGCUAAUACCCCCGUGGACUGACAGUAUCGGGAGAA
rnacentral:rRNA from 1 species